AUUGAACGCUGGCGGCAGGCUUAACACAUGCAAGUCGAGCGAGCGGCGGACGUGUGAGUAAUGUCUGGGAAACUGCCUGAUGGCGGGGGAUAACUACUGGAAACGGUAGCUAAUACCACAUACCAUCAGAUGUGCCCAGAUGGGAUUCGCUAGUAGGUGGGGUAAUGGCUCACCUAGGCGACGAUCCCUAGCUGGUCUGAGAGGAUGACCAGUCACACUGGAACUGAGAAACGGUCCAGAAUCCUACGGGAGGCAGAAGUGGGGAAUAUUGCACAAUGGGCGCAAGCCUGAUGCAGCCAUGCCGCGUGUGUGAAGAAGGCCUUAGGGUUGUAAAGCACUUUCAGCGGGGAGGCGUUACUCGCAGAAGAAGCACCGGAUAACUCCGUGCCAGCAGCCGCGGUAAUUC
rnacentral:rRNA from 1 species